rnacentral:rRNA from 1 species
AUUGAACGCUGGCGGCAUGCCUUACACAUGCAAGUCGAAUGGCAGCACGGACUUCGGUCUGGUGGCGAGUGGCGAACGGGUGAGUAAUAUAUCGGAACAUGUCCGGAAGUGGGGGAUAACGUAGCGAAAGUUACGCUAAUACCGCAUAUGCCCUGAGGGGGAAAGGAGGGGAUCGCAAGACCUUUCGCUUUCGGAGUGGCCGAUAUCGGAUUAGCUAGUAGGUGAGGUAAAGGCUCACCUAGGCGACGAUCCGUAGCUGGUCUGAGAGGACGACCAGCCACACUGGGACUGAGACACGGCCCAGACUCCUACGGGAGGCAGCAGUGGGGAAUUUUGGACAAUGGGCGCAAGCCUGAUCCAGCCAUGCCGCGUGAGUGAAGAAGGCCUUCGGGUUGUAAAGCUCUUUCAGCUGGAAAGAAAUCAUGCUUACUAAUACUAAGUGUGGAUGACGGUACCAGCAGAAGAAGCACCGGCUAACUACGUGCCAGCCGCCGCCGUAAUAC